rnacentral:rRNA from 1 species
CCUACGGGUGGCAGCAGUGGGGAAUAUUGCACAAUGGGGGAAACCCUGAUGCAGCAACGCCGCGUGAGCGAUGAAGGCCUUCGGGUCGAAAAGCUCUGUCCUAAGGGAAGAAUACUGACGGUACCUUAGGAGGAAGCCCCGGCUAACUUCGUGCCAACAGCCGCGGUAAUACGUAGGGGGCUAGCGGUAUCCGGAAUUACUGGGCGUAACGGGUGCGUAGGCGGCCCUUCAAGUUAGGGGUGAAAGGCUACGGCUCAACCGUAGUAAGCCCUUGGAACUGAUUGGCUUGAGUGCAGGAGAGGAGAGGGGGAUUCCUGGUGUAGCGGUGAAAUGGGUAGAUCUUAAGAUGAACAGCAGUGGUGAAGGCGACUCUUUGGACUGUAACUGACGCUGAGGCACGAAAGCGUAGGGAGCAAACAGGAUUAGAUACCCUGGUAGUC